rnacentral:rRNA from 1 species
CCCCGGGAAUAUCCUGGGAAUUUCCGUAAAGAAACCCCCGGAUAACUCCGUGCCACCACCCGCGGUAAUACGGAGGGGGUUAGCGUUGUUCGGAAUUACUGGGCGUAAAGCGCGCGUAGGCGGAUUGCAAAGUUUGAGGUGAAAUCCCGGGGCUCAACCCUGGAACUGCCUUUAAAACUCCCAGUCUAGAGUUCGAGAGAGGUGAGUGGAAUUCCAAGUGUAGAGGUGAAAUUCGUAGAUAUUUGGAGGAACACCAGUGGCGAAGGCGGCUCACUGGAUCGAUACUGACGCUGAGGUGCGAAAGUGUGGGGAGCAAACAGGAUUAGAUACCCUGGUAGUCCACACCGUAAACGAUGAAUGCCAGUCGUCGGAUACCAUGCUAUUCGGUGACACAACUAACGGAUUAAGCAUUCCGCCUGGGGAGUACGGUCGCAAGAUUAAAACUCAAAGGAAUUGACGGGGCCC